GCUCCUGUAGUGUAAUGGUAGCACGCCUUCUUCCGGCGAAGGUAAUCCUUGUUCGAAUCAGGGCAGGAGUG
rnacentral:tRNA from 1 species